ensembl:lncRNA
GUUUCCUCUAAAAAACACUGUACAGUAGGAGAAAAGAAUGUAUUUGUGUCAAAGGACCUGAGUACCUGGAGAAAAAUUUCAGUUUAUAUGUAAAAGAAGAGAGAGAAAGAGGGACAGCAUAGCCCAAUGAGGGAAGUGUCAUUAGGUGGACUUAGUAGAAAUGCUUGUUUCAUAGAUGCAUUUUUCACACUGUGUAUUUUGAAGUAAGGCUAGGGGAUGAAAGCCUUGCUGAUGAUUCAAAGAAUUUGGAAGUGGAAAUAAACUUUGCAACCCCUUGAUAUUUGUACAGCAAAGUCCAUUCCGGGAACAGCUGCUCCUCUAACUGCAGUAGUUUUAAUUAAUUCCUGGGUAAUAGGAAUGGGUAAUUAUUCUUUGAAAUAAACCCCGGGUAAAAGUGACCUCAUUGGAAGCUCUGCUGAGAAUUAGAAAGAACCUCAACACAGUACAUUGAAGUGUCUCCUUCCCUUCCAUGUUACGCAAAUUCUGUUUGAUUUUGUUCUUGUGCUUUCUGAGCCAGAAAACAUUAUGUAGAAGCAGAAAAACUCCUAGAUAGCUCUUGCAGUCACUGCUGGCGGUAUAGUUUUUGUUAUAUUAAGAGUAAUCCAAAUGCAGAUCUCUAGCAUUCUGUAACAACUGACUUAAGGGUGCUCAGCACCCUAGGUAGAACUAGAAGCAUGUCUGUUCAGAAGUGAUUCAGGGGGAAAGGAGAUGCCAGGGGAUAAGUUUCAAAAUAGGGUGAUAAAAAAAAAAAUAAAAAAAUCCACAUCUCUUCACACAGAAGUGGUUCUAUCCUCAAGAAAAUUGUUGUAAGGAUUGUUAAAAGGAAGAGGUCACUCACCACUUCUGGAAUCUGACUCCAUGCAGAAAAUAAACAACUGAACCCUAAGCCAUGCAAAUACACAGGAAAAAGGACCCUUCGUAAUAAAGACUUCACAACACAAGAUGCAGUGUAAGUACAGGACUGCACAUAAGCUCUGAGUCUCCUCUCUGCCCACAGUGCUUUGCCAUUAAUAGGUGGGUUUCUGAACAUAUUGCUGAUUUUAGGUGUCUUUCUUUACUGCUUCAGAUGCCUUCUGGUUUGGAUCCCAUUCAGCAGUAUUCAAGCAGGAGCGGUAUGUGCAGCUCUCUGCUGGCUGUUCAGAUUUGUGCAGCCUCACCAGCAAGUGUUCUUUACUCAUGUUCCAGAAAAACUGGUAACGUUUGAUUAGGAAAUAUUCCUAGUCAGUGGAAUAAGUAGGGUUGGAGAGCCUCAGGUGAUGCUUAGGAAUUUCAGACCUAAAUUCAAUUUCCUACUAGGAUAUUCAGUAAAGGAAGCAAUGGAGGAUAAACUCUUAACACUCUCUGAGAACCACUACAGCGCUGCAGUCUUACAUUGAGGUUGACAAGUCAAUAAUGUUCUAUCUGUUCAGUUUCACUGCCUGCUUUUUUUUUUGAGUGUUUUGCCAUCUGUGCUGUCAGUGUGGCCUUACUGGCAAAAUAGUGACAAUUUACUGUAUUAUGAACGAAAGCAUAUGUAAUAAUUUUUCUGAAAUUGGCACUGGAAUAUAGGAGCAGAGCUUAAAUACUGCUUGACCUGUGGAAAAAAAACGGUUGCUGCCUACACCAAGAGGGCUUCUGAGUUAUGAAUAUGCAUGGAUUUCAAAAAACUCCAGUGAGUAGCAUUCUGUGCACAGCCAUUUUAAUCAUAUGCUUGAUCACAGUGACUGCUAUUUGAGAACAAAAUUCAGUAUGUUGCCUAUUCUGAAUGCAAAUCUGUACAAGAAAACAAACGGAUCCCAGUUUCACUGAGAAUUUCUAUUUUAAACUUCUUUUUUUUGAAAAUUAGAUUUUUAUUACACUUGCCCAAUUCUGAGGGAGACAAAAGGAAAGAUUCUUUUCACUUAUGGUCACAGCGUCAUAAAAUAAUUUAGGUUGGAAGGGACCUCUGGAGGCUGUCUGGUGCAACAUGCUUUUAAAAUCUAUCUUCAGAGUCAGAUCAAACUGCCCAGGGCCAUCUCCUGUAAAGUUCUGCAUACCUCUGAGGGUUAAAAGCCCAUAAGCUCCCUAGCAAGGGAAUACUGACCAUGAUUUUUUUCUCUCCUUAUAUUUUGUUGGCAUUUUCAAAGAUGCAUAUAAUAAGAGUUAUGACUUUUGUCUCAUUGCUGUAUACUUUGGCGACAAAUAUGACUUUUCUUUAAAAACUUCCUUUUAUAUAGCUGAAGGUA